rnacentral:rRNA from 1 species
AUUGAACGCUGGCGGAAUGCUUUACACAUGCAAGUCGAACGGCAGCACGGACUUCGGUCUGGUGGCGAGUGGCGAACGGGUGAGUAAUGUAUCGGAACGUGCCCAGUCGUGGGGGAUAACGUAGUGAAAAUUACGCUAAUACCGCAUACGAUCUAUGGAUGAAAGCGGGGGAUCGCAAGACCUCGCGCGAUUGGAGCGGCCGAUAUCAGAUUAGGUAGUGGGUGGGGUAAAGGCCCACCAAGCCAACGAUCUGUAGCUGGUCUGAGAGGACGACCAGCCACACUGGAACUGAGACAAGGUCCAGACUCCUACGGGAGGCAGCAGUUGGGAAUUUUGGACAAUGGGCGAAAGCCUGAUCCAGCCAUUCCGCGUGCAGGAUGAAGGCCCUCGGGUUGUAAACUGCUUUUGUACAGAACGAAAAGGUUUCUACUAAUACUAGGAGCUCAUGACGGUACUGUAAGAAUAAGCACCGGCUAACUACGUGCCAGCCGCCGCAGUAA